rnacentral:rRNA from 1 species
GACGAACGCUGGCGGCGUGCUUAACACAUGCAAGUCGAACGGAAAGGCCCUGCUUUUGUGGGUUGCUCGAGUGGCGAACGGGUGAGUAACACGUGAGUAACCUGCCCUUGACUUUGGGAUAACUUCAGGAAACUGGGGCUAAUACCGGAUAGGAGCUCCUGCUGCAUGGUGGGGGUUGGAAAGUUUCGGCGGUUGGGGAUGGACUCGCGGCUUAUCAGCUUGUUGGUGGGGUAGUGGCUUACCAAGGCUUUGACGGGUAGCCGGCCUGAGAGGGUGACCGGCCACAUUGGGACUGAGAUACGGCACAGACUCCUACGGGAGGCAGAAGUGGGGAAUAUUGCACAAUGGGCGGAAGCCUGAUGCAGCAACGCCGCGUGCGGGAUGACGGCCUUAGGGUUGUAAACCGCUUUCGCCUGUGACGAAGCGUGAGUGACGGUAAUGGGUAAAGAAGCACCGGCUAACUACGUG